AAGUUCAAAAACACUUUGAUUGACUCGGCCGCUCGUCAUUUUGUCAUUUACGUAAUUUUCCCUAUAAUUCGAAAUGAAAGUGUUAGAAUGUUUCGAUUUGAGACCAACUUAUCCACUGAUUUUGAUCAUUGUCAUGUUUUUUUGUUGUUUACUCGUGUGUCACGUAACUUGGUCAUAACAUAAACACAAACACGAGGUUGACCCACUUUUGAGAAUUGGCCCAUUGUUGACAAUAGCGUGAAAGGCGUUUGUUAUUAUCUAUUUCAUCACUUUCUUUUCGUUAGAAAAUGUGGUUAAUGAGCUGCUUUUUAGAGUUUUGUAUUUGGUUGUGAAAUAUUAACAAAUUUCAUUAUGUAAGGUUCGCGCCAUAAACAUGACUCAUACCGGAAGUUCCUUUGUUUGUUUACGACCGGAAGUCGCUUAUGUUCAAAAAUUAAAUAAGAAUCAAAAUUACAUGAAGGAUUUAAAGUUAGAUUGAUGUGGUAAAUGCUGUAUAAUAUUUAUUUCCAGGUUGACUGUAACCUUUUUGUCGUGGGUAUUGUAGCGGAUAUUCCUUGUGACGGAAAUAAAAGAUUAUUUACUUUAAUAUUCACUUGGAAAGGCUGGUACAUGUAGCUAGAAAAAGUACAGUAUAAGAUUAAAGAAAGACUAGAAGAUUAUUACAAACAACAGGUGGACAUGUGUCACUGUCAAGCGAAUGAAGAUAAGCAUCACACUCGGUGGGAAUCUCCAGUUUCCAGAUGUAGUGAUCAUAACUGUAUAGGCACCAUUAACACUUUGGACUAGUUGGAGUAUUUUAGAGGGCUAGUCUGAAUUGAAUCCCCUGUCAAUAGUCAAGGCCAGUCAUGAACAUUGUGUUGAAGGAAAAUGUUAAAACUCGGAUUUUCCGCUUAACCAAUCAUUACUUUACCUUAUAUUCAGUGCGGUAAUGUAGGAAAUGGUUACUUUCUGAAACAGAGCUGUCAAUUAUUUUUAAUUUAUUAGCUUGUUAGUGUUAUCGUCGGACAGUUGUGAAGUAAAAACAUCAUAGUUUGACUGUAUACAAGUUGCCUUAAAGAAAGUAUGUCGAAAUCUUAACAGUUAUUCGUUGAUUUUGUAGAAAUUGACUAGAAUUCACCUUUGUUAACAUGCAUCGCUUGGACGUCGAAAACGACAUGCAAUGACAUUUCAGUGAAAUUUGGAAACUUGCUCGUAUUUUGGAGCAUUUUGUAGGAUUUCGAUGAAGUAAAAAGUGUUUAUGAUAGGAUACAUUAUUCCUAGAGACAACCAUAAAGAUAAAAUAGUGAUCUGGUGUAUUUUUACCGAACAGUUCUUGUUUGUUUUGCAUGAUAUUUUUCUCUCGUUAGGGACCUUUAUUCUUUAUAUAUAGUAUUAUGAGCAUAUAUAUGGGUAAA